AAAUCAAUGAAAGGAGGUGAUCCAGUGUCUAGAGAGAGAUUGGAGAGAGGUGUCGGGACAGCGUGGAGGGAUCAUUCCUGAGGCAGCCCUUGGGACUGUGACUUUUGCGUUGGGGCUCCUAACCGACCCCACCUCCUGAACUUUCGAAGGGCCGUCCCAUCGCCGGGGCGGCCCU
rnacentral:misc_RNA from 1 species